GACGAACGCUGGCGGCGUGCUUAACACAUGCAAGUCGAACGGUAAGGCCCUUCGGGGUACACGAGUGGCGAACGGGUGAGUAACACGUGGGUGAUCUGCCCUGCACUUCGGGAUAAGCCUGGGAAACUGGGUCUGAUACCGGAUAGGACCCUGGGAUGCAUGUCCUGGGGUGGAAAGCUUUUGCGGUGUGGGAUGGGCCCGCGGCCUAUCAGCUUGUUGGUGGGGUGAUGGCCUACCAAGGCGACGACGGGUAGCCGGCCUGAGAGGGUGACCGGCCACAGUGGGACUGAGAUACGGCCCAGACUCCUACGGGAGGCAGCAGUGGGGAAUAUUGCACAAUGGGCGCAAGCCUGAUGCAGCGACGCCGCGUGAGGGAUGACGGCCUUCGGGUUGUAAACCUCUUUCAGCACCGACGAAGCGCAAGUGACGGUAGGUGCAGAAGAAGGACCGGCCAACUACGUGCCAGCAGCCGCAGUAA
rnacentral:rRNA from 1 species